rnacentral:lncRNA from 1 species
GUUUUCGUCAUUGUCAUACGUUUUCAAGUUAUCAUAAAAAAGAAGUUUUGUGAGUAUUUAUAUAAGUUAAGAGUUUAGUUUAACAAUUUUGCUACGAAUUAUAAUAGUGAAAUGGUUCUAAACGCGGGGGAUAUAAAAUUUGAAUAACACGCAAGAUUUGUUAGUUUUUAUUUUAGCCUGUAAUAAAAGGGUAACGUAGCUAAAAUUCUAACUAAAAA